UCCGGUUGAUCCUGCCGGAGGCCACUGCUAUGGGGGUUCGGCUAAGCCAUGCAAGUGGAGGGCGCGGUCUCACGACCGUGGCCCCGCGCAAGGCUCAGUAACACGUAGUCAACCUACCCUCGGGUGGGGGAUAACCUCGGGAAACUGAGGAUAAUACCCCAUAGGUGAGGGAGGCUGGAAGGCGCCCUCACCGAAAGCUCCGGCGCCCGAGGAUGGGACUGCGGCCUAUCAGGUAGUUGGUGGUGUAACGGACCACCAAGCCUACGACGGGUACGGGCGAUGGGAGUCGGAGCCCGGAGAUGGGGACUGAGACAAGGCCCCAGGCCCUACGGGGUGCAGCAGGCGCGAAAACUCCGCAAUGCGCGAAAGCGUGACGGGGGAACCCCCAAUGCCGCUGGUCUCACGAUCGGCGGCUUUUCCGGAGUGUAAGAAGCUCCGGGAAUAAGGGCUGGGCAAGGCUGGUGCCAGCCGCCGCGGUAAUACCAGCAGCCCAAGUGGUGGUCGCGAUUAUUGGGCCUAAAGCGCUCGUAGCCGGGCCGGCAAGUCCCUCGUGAAAUCGGACCGCCUAACGGUUCGGCUUGCGGGGGAAACUACCGGCCUAGGGCCGGGAGACGUCCGGGGUACUCCGGGGGUAGCGGUGAAAUGCGUUGAUCCUCGGAGGACCACCCGUAGCGAAGGCGCCGGACGAGAACGGACCCGACGGUGAGGGGCGAAGGCUGGGGGAGCGAACGGGAUUAGAUACCCCGGUAGUCCCAGCAGUAAAGGAUGCGGGCCAGAUGUUGGGAGUCCCUAGAGGGCUCCCAGUGUCGGAGGGAAGCCGUUAAGCCCGCCGCCUGGGGAGUACGGCCGCAAGGCUGAAACUUAAAAGAAUUGGCGGGGGAGCACCACAAGGGGUGGGACCUGCGGUUCAAUUGGAUUCAACGCCGGACAACUCACCAGGGGAGACAGCGGGAGGAAGGCCAGGCUGAAGACCUUGCUCGACUAGCUGAGAGGAGGUGCAUGGCC
rnacentral:rRNA from 1 species